UUUCAGCCUAAGGUUUGAGAUGGCUAACUGUGUACAUUGCCUUUGUGUACUGCAAGCUGAACUUACAGAUUUAUAUGGACUUUACUUACAGGUUUCCUGUGCUGUUUUGCUCCAUUUUACAGAACAAAAUAAGGCUGAGGUAGCACCAUCCUUGUGGUUAGAGUGAAAGAAUGUGGGUAUUGAGACCAAAAUAAAUAAUGUGCCAUUCUGGACAAACAGCUGUGGACAAUAUAAGCAGUCAGAGUAGCCCAUUUUCUCACACAGAUGAGGAGCAACCAGUAAGAAAAAGCAAAAAGAUGUUUUGAUGUUGCCUGAGGCACCUUAUUCACAUCAGUCAAUUUCUUCCAAUAAUGAAUCAAGAAAUCCUGGAGUGGAGAAUCAUUCUGAAAGUAGACCAAACACAGGACAACACCACAGCAGUGGUUGGAAAAAUGCAGCAGACAAUGAGCAAACCAAGCUGACUUUCAAAAGAUGAUUCGUUAUCUGUUUCUUCAAAGGGGAGGCAGUUUGGGAGAUGGGAAAUAGGAGGAUGCUACAGCUACACAGGGCGAAUUUCAGCAGCUCAGUUUCACACUUGCAACUAACAAUGAAUUAUAGUUAGAAGACAACGGAAAUAUUUGACAUGGGAGUCCAGCAGACAGCCAGAGACACGCACACACACGGAGCUGAAGCGCGUUUGACUGACGCGUACGGGAGAUCAGGCACGCGCACGGGAGCUCGCUCGCGCACGCACACACAAACACGGAGCACAGGAAAAUUACAACUGUUCAAUUAAAAUAAAAGAACUUUGUGGUAAACAAUGUUUAGCGUGUCUGAUUUCAUUGGUUGUA